rnacentral:rRNA from 1 species
AUUGAACGCUGGCGGCAUGCCUUACACAUGCAAGUCGAACGGUAACGCGGGGCAACCUGGCGACGAGUGGCGAACGGGUGAGUAAUGCAUCGGAACGUGCCCAGUAGUGGGGGAUAGCCCGGCGAAAGCCGGAUUAAUACCGCAUACGACCUACGGGUGAAAGCGGGGGACCGUAAGGCCUCGCGCUAUUGGAGCGGCCGAUGUCAGAUUAGGUUGUUGGUGGGAUAAAAGCUUACCAAGCCGACGAUCUGUAGCUGGUCUGAGAGGACGAUCAGCCACACUGGGACUGAGACACGGCCCAGACUCCUACGGGAGGCAGCAGUGGGGAAUUUUGGACAAUGGGCGCAAGCCUGAUCCAGCAAUGCCGCGUGCAGGAUGAAGGCCUUCGGAUUGUAAAGCACUUUAAGUUGGGAGGAAGGGUUGUAGAUUAAUACUCUGCAAUUUUGACGUUACCGACAGAAUAAGCACCGGCUAACUCUGUGCCAGCCGCCGCCGUAAUAC